AGCUGUAAGUAAGCUUUGAUCCAGAGAUUUCCGAAUGGGGAAACCCAGCAUGAGUUAUGUCAUGUUAUCGAUAUGUGAAUACAUAGCAUAUCAGAAGGCACACCCGGAGAACUGAAACAUCUUAGUAACCGGAGGAAGAGAAAGAAAAUUCGAUUCCCUUAGUAGCGGCGAGCGAAACGGGAAGAGCCCAAACCAACAAGCUUGCUUGUUGGGGUUGUAGGACACUCUAUACGGAGUUACAAAGGACGACAUUAG
rnacentral:rRNA from 1 species